UGGGGAAUAUUGCACAAUGGGCGCAAGCCUGAUGCAGCGACGCCGCGUGGGGGAUGACGGCCUUCGGGUUGUAAACUCCUUUCGCUAGGGACGAAGCUUUUUGUGACGGUACCUAGAUAAGAAGCACCGGCUAACUACGUGCCAGCAGCCGCGGUAAUACGUAGGGUGCGAGCGUUGUCCGGAAUUACUGGGCGUAAAGGGCUCGUAGGUGGUUUGUCGCGUCGUCUGUGAAAUUCCGGGGCUUAACUCCGGGCGUGCAGGCGAUACGGGCAUAACUUGAGUACUGUAGGGGUAACUGGAAUUCCUGGUGUAGCGGUGAAAUGCGCAGAUAUCAGGAGGAACACCGAUGGCGAAGGCAGGUUACUGGGCAGUUACUGACGCUGAGGAGCGAAAGCAUGGG
rnacentral:rRNA from 1 species